ACAUUUUAAUUAAGAAAUCCUAUAAAUCAGGACCACCACAAGUUCAGACACUCCGUUGCGAAGUGUACAGUCAAUAGCUACAUCUGGAGGAUGAACAAGCCAUUGAAUCUUUAAAAAACUGGUUUAGCUACCUUAAAGUUUGGGGGUGGCACCUUACUAAAGCGCCAUCAAGUUUCACAAGGGUAAAGCCAGCAGUUUCUCCUAGAGGAGAGUCACAUUUUUAAAAGUUUCAGUCACUCACAAAGAAGAGCUGGCAGGCAGGAGGAAAAUAACUGUGCAUGAGGAACCGCAGAGGCUCAGGCCCACCACUCCAGAGGGCCAGAACAGAGCAGAAAGGCGUCCAGGGCCUUCAUCCAACCCCACAGAAAGGGCAGAGUAAGAAAGGUCGGCUGGGAGGACAGGAGAUUGUUUAUGACCGUUUCUGAGAAAGCUAAUGACAUGGCCAAGAGUAGCCCUGCAAGAGGAGGAGUUCUGGAAAGAGGAAAGCACAGAAAAAGCAACUAACUCUUCUCACACGUCCCUCCCUGCCUGUGUGUCCUCAGGAGACUCCAAGCGGUGGCAAAGCACAAGACAGAGCUCUUCUUGGAGAGAAAAAGACACCAAGGUGUGAUCGAUCUGCUUUCAUUGGUGCCUUGACUCAGAUGGGGCUCCCCUGCCUUUAAGUGGGACCCCCAUCCCACAGGAGAUCACCACCUGAGCGGAGACCACUUCUUCACAUCCACCAUCGGCCUACAAAUGGGCUCAUCAUGUGGCUCACCCAAUUCGUGGAGUUCAUGGAGACCCUCUAACAGGACAGCUGGCUGGCUGAUUCCCUCAUUUGCAGUGACGAGGAUUGGAUGGAGACUAUCCAUGAUCUGUGGCUUCAGGGAAUUUUCAUGGAUUUCAGCCCAGAGGAAAUUUAUGGCUUCGGUGCCUGGGUCUUCACAAUGAUGCUUCUUCUCUGUUUCCAGACAUCCCUCCCCUCCUUUUCCCACAUCUUCCCACCUCAGCAGGAAGUAGCCAAACUAAGUCAGUGCCCCCAUCCCCAA